ACUCGAGUGGCGAACGGGUGAGUAACACGUGGGUGAUCUGCCCUGCACUUCGGGAUAAGCCUGGGAAACUGGGUCUAAUACCGGAUAGGACCACAUUUUGGAUGGUGUGGUGGAGAGUUUUUCGGUGUGGGAUGAGCUCGCGGCCUAUCAGCUUGUUGGUGGGGUAAUGGCCUACCAAGGCGUCGACGGGUAGCCGGCCUGAGAGGGUGUACGGCCACAUUGGGACUGAGAUACGGCCCAG
rnacentral:rRNA from 1 species